rnacentral:rRNA from 1 species
AGCGUAGGUGGCCUGACAUGUCAACUGUGAAAACCCGGAGCUCAACUCCGGACAUGCAGGUGAAACUGGCAGACUUGAGACCGGUAGAGGCUAGCGGAAUUCCUGGUGUAGCGGUGGAAUGCGUAGAUAUCAGGAAGAACACCUGUGGCGAAGGCGGCUAGCUGGGCCGGUUCUGACACUGAACUGCGAAAGCGUGGGGAGCAAACA